AACAGGCAAACAUUAAAUCUGAACAGUGUCCAGCUCUCUGUGUGCCUGCAUUUUACUGCAUACUAAUUUUCUCCUUUUUUGUGAGAACUGCGUCAAACACAGAUCGAGUUUUGCCUCAGAGGCUGCAUGAAAAUCAAAUCACAUGUGGAUCUUCUUUUAUUUGCUGGAAGCAGGCAUCUCCAGACUAUGUUUAAAGCUUCUAGGGCAUGCAGGAGAAGAGAUACAAAUCAAGUUCUCCUGGAGAAAGGCUGUUCCACAGCUUUAUGAAGCUAUGAACUGGAGAAUAACACAUGACCAAAAGCAAAUGGAGGUGAAUGAUGACCACAUUAUACUGGGUAUCCAGACCUGUCAAAGAAUGCCAAUGCAUCAAGAACUAUUGACCAACUUUGCCAUGCCUACAGAUUUUAGAAUAAGUAAUAAAAUGUCACUGAAGGUGUAUGGACAAAGUUCCCUUCAUGUUAUCCUGCAUAAAUAUUCUCAGCAAAUAUAUAUACUUGUGUCACUUUUUGAAAA